rnacentral:rRNA from 1 species
ACUCCUACGGGAGGCAGCAGUGGGGAAUAUUAGACAAUGGGGGCAACCCUGAUCCAGCCAUGCCGCGUGAGUGAUGAAGGCCUUAGGGUUGUAAAGCUCUUUCAGCGAGGAGGAUAAUGACGUUACUCGCAGAAGAACGCCCCGGCUAACUUCGUGCCAGCAGCCGCGGUAAUACGAAGGGGCUAGCGUUGUUCGGAAUCACUGGGCGUAAAGCGCACGUAGGCGGAUUGAUAAGUUAGGGUGAAAUCCCGGGGCUCAACCUCGGAACUGCCUUUGAUACUGUCAGUCUUGAGUCCGAGAGAGGUGAGUGGAACUCCGAGUGUAGAGGUGAAAUUCGUAGAUAUUCGGAAGAACACCAGUGGCGAAGGCGGCUCACUGGCUCGGUACUGACGCUGAGGUGCGAAAGCGUGGGAGCAAACAGGAUUAGAUACCCUGGGAGCACAGAG